rnacentral:rRNA from 1 species
AGAGCGAACGCUGGCGGCAGGCCUAACACAUGCAAGUCGAGCGCCCGUAGCAAUACGGGAGCGGCAGACGGGAGAGUAACACGUGGGAACGUACCCUUCAGUUCGGAAUAACCCAGGGAAACUUGGACUAAUACCGAAUACGUCCGUAAGGAGAAAGAUUUAUCGCUGAAGGAUCGGCCCGCGUCUGAUUAGCUUGUUGGUGAGGUAACGGCUCACCAAGGCGACGAUCAGUAGCUGGUCUGAGAGGAUGAUCAGCCUCACUGGGACUGAGACACGGCCCAGACUCCUACGGGAGGCAGCAGUGGGAAUAUUGGACAAUGGGCGCAAGCCUGAUCCAGCCAUGCCGCGUGGAUGAUGAAGGCCCUAGGGUUGUAAAGUCCUUUCGACGGGGAAGAUAAUGACGGUACCCGUAGAAGAGCCCCGGCUAACUUCGCGCCAGCAGCCGC